UGGGGAAUUUUGGACAAUGGGCGAAAGCCUGAUCCAGCAAUGCCGCGUGUGUGAAGAAGGCCUUCGGGUUGUAAAGCACUUUUGUCCGGAAAGAAAUCCUUGGCUCUAAUACAGUCGGGGGAUGACGGUACCGGAAGAAUAAGCACCGGCUAACUACGUGCCAGCAGCCGCGGUAAUACGUAGGGUGCAAGCGUUAAUCGGAAUUACUGGGCGUAAAGCGUGCGCAGGCGGUUUGCUAAGACCGAUGUGAAAUCCCCGGGCUCAACCUGGGAACUGCAUUGGUGACUGGCAGGCUAGAGUAUGGCAGAGGGGGGUAGAAUUCCACGUGUGGCAGUGAAAUGCGUAGAGAUGUGGAGGAAUACCGAUGGCGAAGGCAGCCCCCUGGGCCAAUACUGACGCUCAUGCACGAAAGCGUGGGGAGCAAAACAGGAUUAGAUACCCUGGUAGUCCACGCCCUAAACGAUGUCAACUAGUUGUUGGGGAUUCAUUUCCUUAGUAACGUAGCUAACGCGUGAAGUUGACCGCCUGGGGAGUACGGUCGCAAGAUUAAAACUUAAAUGAAUUGACGGGGUCAUAGCUGUUUCCU
rnacentral:rRNA from 1 species